AUUGAACGCUGGCGGCAGGCCUAACACAUGCAAGUCGAGCGGAUGAGAGAAGCUUGCUUCUCGAUUCAGCGGCGGACGGGUGAGUAAUGCCUAGGAAUCUGCCUAGUAGUGGGGGACAACGUUUCGAAAGGAACGCUAAUACCGCAUACGUCCUACGGGAGAAAGUGGGGGAUCUUCGGACCUCACGCUAUUAGAUGAGCCUAGGUCGGAUUAGCUGGUUGGUAGGGUAAAGGCCUACCAAGGCGACGAUCCGUAACUGGUCUGAGAGGAUGAUCAGUCACACUGGAACUGAGACACGGUCCGGACUCCUACGGGAGGCAGCAGUGGGGAAUAUUGGACAAUGGGCGAAAGCCUGAUCCAGCCAUGCCGCGUGUGUGAAGAAGGCCUUCGGGUCGUAAAGCACUUUAAGUUGGGAGGAAGGGCUCAUAGCGAAUACCUGUGAGUUUUGACGUUACCAACAGAAUAAGCACCGGCUAACUUCGUGCCAGCAGCCGCCGUAAGAC
rnacentral:rRNA from 1 species